rnacentral:lncRNA from 1 species
AAAAAAAACUGUCCAGUGGCGGACUAGUUGAGCUCUUCUCACUGUGUGAGCACUUUUGGGUCCAACCACAGAGUCAAGAUCAUUGAGUCGUAAAUACAUGGAAGCUUUUUUUAGAUUUCUGCGUUGGUUCACCUCUGAUCACGCUGUCCAGGCCUGAGUGCCCAUCUGGAGGCCACACGGUCCAUCAACCCAAUCUCCUAUAUAAACCCGGUCAAGAGGAGAAUUGAUCUAUCGUGCCCCAUGGGUAGGACACACCAAUGUUUAAAACAGCUCACUCUCCAUCCUGUUCUCACAGCACCCAGCAGAGGAGACGGGAGCAGCUGUUGGAGCGGGUGGAGUGUGCACACGUCUCACUCUCGAGAUGACCAGAUGAAUCAUCUGCAUGCUCCAGACUGGUGAGGAAUUACUUUGCCAAUCCCUGUGUGACGAAGCUUUCCCAGCAGGCUCAAUGCUAAGGCCGAUAGAUUUUGGAAAGUCUUGAGAGGGGGAGCGAGUGCCACGUGUUCCAUCCAGGCAUCUCCAAAUUAAUUAUUCACAUUAAUGGGAUGCGUCGGGUGGCUUUUAUUUGCUGAACAUCAAAGCAGGGUCACUGGGUUUGGUUAUUGCUAAAAAUGAUGACAAAUAGGCAGGAUAGAAAGUGAAUAAACUGUCAUGUUUUACAUGGACACAUUAUUGUGCACACUUCAAUGCCAGUUCAAUCUCUUCUUCAUGAAUAAAAAGACAUGUGCAUCUGCGGAGUAUUAUAAUUGUGGUCAUU